rnacentral:rRNA from 1 species
UACGUAGGGCGCAAGCGUUGUCCGGAAUUAUUGGGCGUAAGGAGCUCGUAGGCGGUUUGUCGCGUCUGCUGUGAAAACCUGAGGCUCAACCUCGGGCUUGCAGUGGGUACGGGCAGACUAGAGUACGGUAGGGGUGACUGGAAUUCCUGGUGUAGCGGUGGAAUGCGCAGAUAUCAGGAAGAACACCCGUGGCUAAGGCGGCUCUCUAGUACGGUACUGACGCUGAGACGCGAAAGCGUGGGGAGCGAACAGG